rnacentral:rRNA from 1 species
CCAAUCGAACUCGGAGAUAGCUGGUUCUCCUCGAAAUAGCUUUAGGGCUAGCGUCGUGUUAGUAGCACAUGGGGGUAGAGCUCUGUAAAGGACUGGGGCGGGCAACUGUACCCACCCUUAACAAACUACGAAUACCAUGUGUGUAAUCACGGCAGUUAGAACAUCGGUGCUAAGAUCGGUGCUCAAAAGGGAAACAGCCCAGACCAUCAUCUAAGGUCCCUAAAUUAACGUUCAGUGGGAAACAAGGUGAGAUUUCUUAAACAGCUAGGAUGUUGGCUUAGAAGCAGCCAUUCAUUUAAAGAGUGCGUAACAGCUCACUAGUCAAGAGAUCUUGCGUGGAAAAUGUAACGGGGCUAAAACGUUAUACCGAAGAUAUGGAUGUCAGAUUUAUCUGGCGUGGUAGAGGAGCGUUCCUAUCAGCAGUGAAGUCGAAUCGGAAGGUUCGGUGGAGCGGUAGGAAGUGAGAAUGCUGGAAUGAGUAACCAUAAGAGAGGUGAGAAUCCUCUCGGCCGUAAGAGCAAGGUUUCCUGAGCCAUGGUAAUCAUCUCAGGGUUAGUCGGGCCUAAGCCGAGGCGCAGAGCGUAGGCGAUGGACAUCAGGUUAAUAUUCCUGAACCGGUUAAGUUUUGUACACUGUUCACGGGGAAGUAAUCGAAGCGGAUUCAUGGUUUAUCCGUCCAACCGAGCGGGAACGCAAAGGGAGUGAAAGUGAUUCUUCGGAGUCGCGAUUUUGGUGAAAGCCCUGGCUAGAAAAGCAGGUGUACGCGUGGACUUAGCCGCCCGUACCGCAAACCAACACAGGUGCUCGAGUCGAGUAGACUCAGGCUUACGAGCGAACCUUCGCUAAGGAACUCGGCAAUACAGCGACCGUAACUUCGGGAUAAGGUCUGCCCCCACUUCGGUGGAUAUCAGCCGCGUUCACUCAGUGAAUAUUAGGUUAAAGAGUACAUUUUUAAUCACAAAACGAAUUUUCUGAGAUAGAGCAAACGAAUUGUUCUUUUGAACGCGAACCUCUGGCAUCUAACGAUGUGGGGGCCGCAGCAAAAGAGCCCACGGAACUGUUUAUCAAAAACACAGGUCUCUGCUAACACGAAAGUGGAUGUAUAGGGGCUGACUCCUGCCCAAUGCUGGAAGGUUAAGGGGAGCGCUUCACGGUGCGAACUGAAGCCCUAGUCAAUGGCGGCGGUAACUAUAACCGUCCUAAGGUAGCGAAAUUCCUUGUCAGGUAAGUUCUGACCCGCACGAAUGGAGUAAUCAUGUGGGCACUGUCUCAGCGAAGGACUCGGUGAAAGUGCAUUGGCGGUAAAGAUGCCGUCUGUCCGUACCAGGACGAGAAGACCCCAUGGAGCUUUACUACAGCUUUACAUUGAAUAUGGUUUCAACAUGUGUAGCAUAGGUGGGAGACUUUGAAGCAGAUACGCCAGUAUUUGUGGAGUCAUCAAGUGAAAUACCACCCUUGUUGUGAUUGUGUUCUCACGCUGACCGUUAUCCGGUUAGCGGACCGUGUAUGGUGGGUAGUUUAACUGGGGCGGUUGCCUCCUAAAGAGUAGCGG